ensembl:lncRNA
GGCAACCGAGGGGCGUGAUGAAGUGUUUCACCGUGCGAGCCAACGCCAGCGGUUUAUCGCUCAGAAUGGAGAUUAAAAAUUAGGGUAGGUGGGUGUGUGUGUGUGUGUGUGUGUGUCGGGGUGUGUGUGUGUGUGUUGGGCGAGGGGCGAGGGGUGGGGGUACGGGGCGAGAAUAGCGCGCGCGUCAAGCUGUGCCGGUCAGUGUCUUACACACACAUUUCUAUAGCGUCUUUCACGCGCGCGCGCACGUGCACGCACACACAAGGGUCCACAGUGCCACGGGAGCCCACUCUACAGUGAGAGGGCUGAGUGUGUGUGUGUGUGUGUGUCUGUAAGUUAGUUUGGACCGGUUGGGGUUGGGGUGGGGGUCUUUGUUGGUGACCAUCUAUUGUGUCAUAUUUUCUAACCCUUGUCGGAGCCUUUGUCCGUGCAGCUGUGGGUUCCGACGAGAGACUACAAGUUUGUGUGUUCCUCUUGUUAUUUUCCUUGCAGCUCAGAGCAAUGACUUAAAUGCACUUUGCCAAACGUUCUACCAAGCAUCCCCUCACACCGGGCGAUAAAAAAACUUUAUUGGCAAGAUAGUUUUCACAACAGUAUACUAGUCUAAAAGUAAAGACACAAAUGUGUGUGCGCCACAUGCAGUGUGCCAAAUUGAACACGAGUGCACAGUUCACAGAGUGGUGCGAUAACUGAGAACGUGAAUACUGGUGCAAGGCAAUAUGUUCCUUUGUCUAUAUUGGUUUCGUUUCUUUAUCACUGCGGUUUUUGGAUGUCUAAAAUCUUCUUAUUUUAUUAUUGUAUCGUCAUGUGUAAUCCAUGUCUGGUUUAGUAUUGAGACCACUUUAUUCUGUUGACACUGUUGACAGUCGCUCAUCAUUCUUACCUCUGUGUCUCCGUUUUUGUAUUUCAGAUUUUGCAAACCCUGGUUUGAGGCUGACUACAAACACGACAUCACCUCCCGCCGUCAUCCACCAACGCCACCCCCUCCACCGCCACCCAACAAUCGCACCCAUUCCCUGGAGAGGAACCCCAUGCAGAAUGCACGCACAAGAAAUGAAUCGAAGGUCCAGACAUGAAAGAGUCGAGAGACACAGGCACACACACACGCAAACACGGGGUGCUGCGUCUGUCUGCGGUCUUCAACCAGCCUGCCAAAAGAUACACACACACACGCACACACAUUAAGGUAAGAAGACCACUGAGCCACACUAUAGUGGUAUAAUAUAAUAACAGUGUUCAUGUAGUCUCUCUCUCUCUCUCUCUCUCUCUCUCUCUCUCUCUCUCUCUCUCUCUCUCUCUCUCUCUCUCUCUCUCUCUCUCUCUUCAGUGUUUAUGUCUGUUUCUCAUUUACGGGCCCAUUGGCGACAGGGGGGGGGGGGGGGGGGGGGGGGGGUUACGAUAUUCAGAUAACUAGGGAGGGCAGGGGAGGGUGACUGAUGUAUUAUAUGCAUUAGUCUGGCCCAUAAUUUGCCGUAUCUCUCAGAGGCACUGUGCACACAGACGUCAUGGCCCAGGUUAAGUAUGGGGUGAGCAGGAUAAUGAUAAUAACUGUCUCGGAGUCGGCUUGUUAUUCUCAAUUGUUUAUAUUUGUCGGUGUUUCACCGAAACCGAAAUUCAGACAGGGCGCAGUUUAUACUUGUUUACUCAAUCAUUGUAAAAAGGUCAGUGAUAAUUCGUGUUUGUUUUGGGGUUGUUCCACCUGGGUCUACUAAUGACCUCGGCAUCCUCGUUGUGAAAAAUGUCCGCCGUUAUGCCCUGGCGUUGGGCUGUGUCCUCAGCGCUGGAGAUAAUUACAACAACAGCCGAUAACCGCUGUGAUACCAUGUUAUCGCCGGGGCAUUAAGGGAAGCUCUUAGUGGGAUUUAAAACCUGUUUGCCCUCCGACUCGAGGCUAGAACGCCCUCUGCCCUUACUCAGUGUCUGAUUUAUGUUUAAAAGAAAGUAUGUCUAACUACUAUAUUUCUGGUCAGAUGUGAAAAGUGCCCUUCUGCAAGCUAUUGACACCCAAUUGGCUUCCUUCUCAGGGUGGUCUUCAUUGGCUUGCCGCCGAAGGUUUGGCGCAUGCUUUUUACAUAAGCAUGCGCCAAACUUCAAGGCUGCCUUGAAAUGGAAACAUUUAAAAUGAUUUUCCCCAGCAAGGUAGCCUUGUUGCAGACACCCAAUACUAAGGCUUUUUGUGGAAGCAAACUAUCUCUCGAAAAUACAGUUUGUGUGUGUGUGUGUGUGUGUGUGUGUGUGUGUGUGUGUGUGUGUGUGUGUGUGUGUGUGUGUGUGUGUGUGUGUGUGUGUGUGUGUGUGUGUGUGUGUGUGUGGGGAGGGGAGCAGAGGACGAUGUUACACACUAACUGGCUUUCGAAAGCGCUUCUCAGACACAGAUGAGGGGGGGGGGGGGGGGGGGCAAUGGCUGCUAAUGGCCCUUUCUAUUGAUGUUACCGUUUAGCAUUGGCGCUAGGAACCAAACGGGGGGAGUCAUUACGUGGAGGGGAGGGAGGGGUGAGGGUUAUUAUUUUAGCCCCCUACAGUCGUUUACAGGCUGCGUUCUCCAGUAUCCACCAGACUGGGCGUGAGGCAGAAAUACUCUCAGUCAAAUCCGAGGCAUCUUUCUACAGUCUAUUGGCCUUCCUCCACCUCUCGCUCACCUUUUCUUGAUUGGCUGCCGGCUCGCAAUCUCCCGCCUUUAUUCCUGUGGCUGCUUGGCAACACCCAGCCGUGCAGCUGUCUCACUGUCACUCAACUGCCAGUAUCCAAACUCUCCAUCUCAAUCGCUGCAGGGUUUUGUACAUUUUUUCCAAUUUCCUGCUCCAUUGUAGCUGAUUCAAGCAUUUGAUCCCAAUGAAAGAAAUACAAGACUUCUUCUUUUUCUUUUUUUUUGUGGAGGAACUCAAUUAUGGUCCAACUGUAAACACUAGUUUAUAAUUUCUCGUUUAAAAUAAUGACACGUCGAGAUUAUCCAUUUGUCUGAAAACUAUUUAGUAGAGAGUACUACUAUACAUGCACAAAGUAUUUAUUUGUUAGAAAGAAAUACUGUUUGUGGAUAACAGGCUGCCCUAUGAGUUUUGUUUUUCAAAGCAGUAUAGAUUCUGGUGUGUGUGUGUGUGUGUGUGUGUGUGUGUGUGUGUGUGUGUGUGUGUGUGUGUGUGUGUGUGUGUGUGUGUGUGUGUGUGUGUGUGUGUGUGUGUGUGUGUGUGUGUGUGUGUGUGUGAUUGUGUGUGCCUUUGGGUGGAUCCUGUCAGACCCAAUCAGUGCCUGUGUAUACCCGUUCUGUCGGCCUGCCAACGGGUCUGGCUGGGGACCCCUGUAGCUGUAGCUUGACCCCCAAACUCCGGCAGUGUGUGUGUGUGUGCAUGUGUGUGUUCUUGUUGUCGGAACAUGUCAGUCCUUAUCUAUCAGUAACACAACAACAUGCAGAUUGAAUAACAAUCAUAAUGGGAGCACACAGUGUAUCGUUUGGUGAACGCACACACACUUCUAAGCGACACGGUGUCGCUACAAGGGAACAUAUUCACCGUGUGUCUGGCGCUAAUUAAAUCCCACUGCAGACUGCAGCGGUGUCAGGUGCUGACAUUGAGUUGUGCCAACAAUACCAGCGGUUACACCCAAGUUAUAAUUAUGAUGUCUUACACAUCCAGCUCGUUUGGUAAUAUAACCUCUUAAAACUAGAUGCAAAGGAUGUGUCAUAUCAAAUUAAAUGUCAAGUGACAUUUAUUGUUGAUUUAACUUCCCCUGUGCGUUGUUUUUUUUUCGCAGAAUUGCCUAUUGAGUCAGGCCUAUCAUUCAAAUAGCAUUCGUCUCCAAAUAU